rnacentral:rRNA from 1 species
AGUGAACGCUGGCGGCGUGCUUAAUACAUGCAAGUCGAACGAGGAAGUCCUAGCUUGCUAGGAUGGAUUAGUGGCGCACGGGUGAGUAAUAUAUAGGUAAUCUGCCUUGCACUGAGGAACAACAGUUGGAAACGAUUGCUAAUACCUCAUACUCCAACUUUACAUAAGUUAAGUUGGGAAAGUCUUUUCGGUGCAGGAUGAGACUAUAUCGUAUCAGCUAGUUGGUAAGGUAAUGGCUUACCAAGGCUAUGACGCGUAACUGGUCUGAGAGGAUGAUCAGUCACAUUGGAAAUGAGACACGGUCCAAAAUCCUACGGGAGGCAGCAGUAAGGGAUAUUGUGCAAUGGGGGAAACCCUGACGCAGCAACGCCGCGUGGAGGAUGACACUUUUCGGAGCGUAAACUCCUUUUGUUAGGGAAGAAUAAUGACGGUACCUAACGAAUAAGCACCGGCUAACUCCGUG